rnacentral:lncRNA from 1 species
UUUACCAGUUGUUUUUAGUAGUGGCACCAUCGCCUUGAGUCACUCGUGUGGCCCUUAUUUCUACCCACCAAUAUAAUAAUCAACAUGCUCACCUGCUAGACCUAAAUUCACAUAAUCCACCAAACAUCUUUUACUAGCUCAUCAUCAAAAUCACAAUCACCUAACUAAAUCCAACCAAAACCUUCUAAUCCACCGUAAAAUUAGGUUAAAAGAUCAUCAUCACCGAACUAAAUCCAAAUUGUUUCAAACUAAUUAAAUAUUUAUUUAUCCAUCAAUAUAAUAAUCACCAUGCUCAUUUAUUAGACCUAUAAUCUCAUAACCCAUCAAACAUCUUUGAAGAGGUAGGAUGCUGGAUCAAAGUCCAUCUACUCCCAUCACCCACAGUCUCUCCGCCUCUCUUGUCGUGUUUACCAGUUAUUUUCAGUAGUGGCACCAUCGCCUUGAGUCACUCGUGUGGCCCUUAUUUCUACCCACCAAUAUAAUAAUCAACAUGCUCACCUAGUAGACCUAAAUUCACAUAAUCCACGGAACAUCUUUUACUAGCUCAUCAUCAAAAUCACAAUCACCUAACUAAAUCCAACCAAAACCUUAUAAUCCAGCAUAAAAUCAGGUUAAAAGAUCAUCACUGAACUAAAUCCAAAUUGUUUCAAACUAAUUAAAUAUCUGUUUACCCAUCAAUAUAAUAAUCACCAUGCUCAUUUAUUAGACCUAUAAUCUCAUAACCCAUCAAACAUCUUUGAUUAUCUUCUGAAGACACAAUCACCUAACUAAAUCCAACUAAAAUCUCAUAGAUCACAGAGAAAUUUAGUUCAAUAUCACAAUCACCUAACUAAAUCCAAAUUGUUCGAGUUAAUUAAUACAUCGAAUAUCUUUGACUAUCUCCUCAAGAUCACAAUCAACUAACUAAUCCAUCAAAAAUAUCAUAAUCCACCAUAAAAUUGGUUCAAGAUCACAAUUGCGUAACUAAAUUCAAAUUUGUCCAAGUUUAUAGAAAAAUUAUUUAUCCACCAAUAUAAUAAUCAAGAUGCUCACCUAUUAGAUCUAAAUUCACAUAAUCUACCGAACAUCUUUUACUAGCUCGUCAAGAUCCCAAUCACCUAACUAAAUCUAAUCAAAACCUCAUAAUCCACCCUAAAUUUUGGUUAAAAAUCACAAUCACCUAACUAAACCCAAACUGUUCCAAACUAUAUUAAAUAUUUGUUUAUCCACCAAUAUAAUAAUUGCCAUGCUCAUCUACUAGACCUAAAAUAUCAUAAUCACUGAACAUCUUUGACUAUCUUUUGAAGACGCAAUCACCUAACUAAAUCCAGCUAAAAUCUCAUAAAUCAACGAGAAAUUUGGUUCAAUAUCACAAUCACGUAACUAAAUCCAAAUUGUUCAAGAUUAAUUAAUCCACCGAACAUCUUUUACUAUCUCCUGAAAAUCGCAAUCAACUAAUCAAAUCCGGCUAAAAUCUCGUAAUCCACCAUGAAAUUUGGUUCAAGAUCACAAUCGCCUAACUAAAUUCAAAUAUCUUCAAGCUUAUUAAAGAUCCAUUUAUCCACCAAUGUAGUAGCCACCAUGCUCGCUUACUAGACAUAUUAGUCCAUGAAACAUCUUUAACUACCUUGUCGAGAUCACAAGCACCUAACUAAAUCCAACCAAAACCUCAUAAUCCAUUGUAAAAUUAGGUUAAAAGAUCACAAUCCCCUACCUAAAUCCAAAUUGAUCUAAAUAUUUGUUUAGAACUAAUAUAAUAAUCACCUUGCUCAUUUACCAUACCUAAAAUCUCAUAAUCCACCAAACAUUUUGACUAUCUUCUCAAGACUCAAUCACCUAACUAAAUCCACCUAAAAUCAAAUAAAUCACCGAGGAAUUUGGUUCAAUAUCACACUCACCGAACUAAAUCCAAAUUGUUCCCAUCGACUACGAGGCACCUACGC